AGAGAGAAGGCAGGCAGAGCAGGAAGGACUCAGGAAAGUUUGGUUGAAGUAGCCCCAGACCUCCUCUCGCUACCGGCUCCCAGCCAAGCCGAGCGCGGCGGCAGCAGGAGCCUUGGCAGCCUCGCCCGGGGGACGGCGCGGAGCACGCUGACGUCAGCCUGCAGAUGUGCCCCGGCCCGGCGGCAGCGCCGCGCAUGCGCGCCGCGUCACGUGGCGGCGGGGGGGGCAGGGGUACAGUCGGGGUAACGCGAAGCGGCGGGGAGGGAUGAGGAGAGGGUGCUGUGCUCUGUCGGUGCGCCCACCGCGCCGAAGGGGGAACUGAACGGGGCUUUAACGGCCCUUGCCUCCGGCUGUGCUGUAGAGCAGUGCGGUGCGGCGUAGUGUGGUGUGGCAUGGCGCGGUGUGUGGGAGCCCGACUGGGCCCCGGGUGGGCGUUGCUGGCGGCGGGCCGGGCAGCCUCCUCUGCCCGGUGAGGCGCCGAGGAAGCCGGCAGAGGCCUCCCGCCGGCCUUCGACCCGGGCGUUACCGCGGAUUUAAUCACAAAGCAGCUCUCAUGUGCCGUGAGGGCGCGGUGCCGGAGAGGCAGUUUGGGGAACGGGGACUUUCGGGGCCGGGACGGGAGGAGGCCUCCCCAGGGGGGCCCGCGUAGCGCUGCGGCUUUAUUUGCAGCGCUGAGCCCGGGUCAGAGCGGGUUCACGCUGCUGCUAGCAGGCCGCCCGAGUGCUGCGCUUCUUCGUGCCGCGUCGGAGGCAGCGGGGUGGUGCCGGUGAGCCGUUAACGCGCGGGAAGGGUCCCACAGUGCAGCCGCUGCGGGGCGCGUCCGAGGACUGGAGGGCAGCCACGGCCCUCGGGGCCUGAAGGCCGGUCUUGAGGUGGCACUCACAGCGACAGAACCACGGUCCGCUUAGUUCUGUCUGAGCGUAGCGUUGCUGCGGUUCAGGUCUAAGUUCUGCACGUAAACAGGUGACGUUCCCAUCAGCAGGAGCUUCAGCGGAGUUAGCACAACCCUGGAGAAAGAGAGUGGUGAUGGGACUGGUGGUAUCUGGCUUGCACCGUUCUUGACUGGGCAUUAUACUUCAGUAGCUUAUAGAAACAUAAGCCAUCCUGUGUCUGAAUCUGAAGUGUAGACCAGCUACUAUCACACUUGUCUUCACCAGCCAUCAAGUCACGUGCUACUGGAAUAUCUAUUACCUGCUG
rnacentral:lncRNA from 1 species